rnacentral:rRNA from 1 species
GGGUUGUGAGGUUAAGCGACUAAGCGUACACGGUGGAUGCCCUGGCAGUCAGAGGCGAUGAAGGACGUGCUAAUCUGCGAUAAGCGUCGGUAAGGUGAUAUGAACCGUUAUAACCGGCGAUUUCCGAAUGGGGAAACCCAGUGUGUUUCGACACACUAUCAUUAACUGAAUCCAUAGGUUAAUGAGGCGAACCGGGGGAACUGAAACAUCUAAGUACCCCGAGGAAAAGAAAUCAACCGAGAUUCCCCCAGUAGCGGCGAGCGAACGGGGAGCAGCCCAGAGCCUGAAUCAGUAUGUGUGUUAGUGGAAGCGUCUGGAAAGGCGCGCGAUACAGGGUGACAGCCCCGUACACAAAAAUGCACAUGCUGUGAGCUCGAUGAGUAGGGCGGGACACGUGGUAUCCUGUCUGAAUAUGGGGGGACCAUCCUCCAAGGCUAAAUACUCCUGACUGACCGAUAGUGAACCAGUACCGUGAGGGAAAGGCGAAAAGAACCCCGGCGAGGGGAGUGAAAAAGAACCUGAAACCGUGUACGUACAAGCAGUGGGAGCACGCUUAGGCGUGUGACUGCGUACCUUUUGUAUAAUGGGUCAGCGACUUAUAUUCUGUAGCAAGGUUAACCGAAUAGGGGAGCCGAAGGGAAACCGAGUCUUAACUGGGCGUUAAGUUGCAGGGUAUAGACCCGAAACCCGGUGAUCUAGCCAUGGGCAGGUUGAAGGUUGGGUAACACUAACUGGAGGACCGAACCGACUAAUGUUGAAAAAUUAGCGGAUGACUUGUGGCUGGGGGUGAAAGGCCAAUCAAACCGGGAGAUAGCUGGUUCUCCCCGAAAGCUAUUUAGGUAGCGCCUCGUGAAUUCAUCUCCGGGGGUAGAGCACUGUUUCGGCAAGGGGGUCAUCCCGACUUACCAACCCGAUGCAAACUGCGAAUACCGGAGAAUGUUAUCACGGGAGACACACGGCGGGUGCUAACGUCCGUCGUGAAGAGGGAAACAACCCAGACCGCCAGCUAAGGUCCCAAAGUCAUGGUUAAGUGGGAAACGAUGUGGGAAGGCCCAGACAGCCAGGAUGUUGGCUUAGAAGCAGCCAUCAUUUAAAGAAAGCGUAAUAGCUCACUGGUCGAGUCGGCCUGCGCGGAAGAUGUAACGGGGCUAAACCAUGCACCGAAGCUGCGGCAGCGACGCUGAUGCGUUGUUGGGUAGGGGAGCGUUCUGUAAGCCUGCGAAGGUGUGCUGUGAGGCAUGCUGGAGGUAUCAGAAGUGCGAAUGCUGACAUAAGUAACGAUAAAGCGGGUGAAAAGCCCGCUCGCCGGAAGACCAAGGGUUCCUGUCCAACGUUAAUCGGGGCAGGGUGAGUCGACCCCUAAGGCGAGGCCGAAAGGCGUAGUCGAUGGGAAACAGGUUAAUAUUCCUGUACUUGGUGUUACUGCGAAGGGGGGACGGAGAAGGCUAUGUUGGCCGGGCGACGGUUGUCCCGGUUUAAGCGUGUAGGCUGGUUUUCCAGGCAAAUCCGGAAAAUCAAGGCUGAGGCGUGAUGACGAGGCACUACGGUGCUGAAGCAACAAAUGCCCUGCUUCCAGGAAAAGCCUCUAAGCAUCAGGUAACAUCAAAUCGUACCCCAAACCGACACAGGUGGUCAGGUAGAGAAUACCAAGGCGCUUGAGAGAACUCGGGUGAAGGAACUAGGCAAAAUGGUGCCGUAACUUCGGGAGAAGGCACGCUGAUAUGUAGGUGAAGUCCCUCGCGGAUGGAGCUGAAAUCAGUCGAAGAUACCAGCUGGCUGCAACUGUUUAUUAAAAACACAGCACUGUGCAAACACGAAAGUGGACGUAUACGGUGUGACGCCUGCCCGGUGCCGGAAGGUUAAUUGAUGGGGUUAGCGCAAGCGAAGCUCUUGAUCGAAGCCCCGGUAAACGGCGGCCGUAACUAUAACGGUCCUAAGGUAGCGAAAUUCCUUGUCGGGUAAGUUCUGACCUGCACGAAUGGCGUAAUGAUGGCCAGGCUGUCUCCACCCGAGACUCAGUGAAAUUGAACUCGCUGUGAAGAUGCAGUGUACCCGCGGCAAGACGGAAAGACCCCGUGAACCUUUACUAUAGCUUGACACUGAACAUUGAGCCUUGAUGUGUAGGAUAGGUGGGAGGCUUUGAAGUGUGGACGCCAGUCUGCAUGGAGCCGACCUUGAAAUACCACCCUUUAAUGUUUGAUGUUCUAACGUUGACCCGUAAUCCGGGUUGCGGACAGUGUCUGGUGGGUAGUUUGACUGGGGCGGUCUCCUCCUAAAGAGUAACGGAGGAGCACGAAGGUUGGCUAAUCCUGGUCGGACAUCAGGAGGUUAGUGCAAUGGCAUAAGCCAGCUUGACUGCGAGCGUGACGGCGCGAGCAGGUGCGAAAGCAGGUCAUAGUGAUCCGGUGGUUCUGAAUGGAAGGGCCAUCGCUCAACGGAUAAAAGGUACUCCGGGGAUAACAGGCUGAUACCGCCCAAGAGUUCAUAUCGACGGCGGUGUUUGGCACCUCGAUGUCGGCUCAUCACAUCCUGGGGCUGAAGUAGGUCCCAAGGGUAUGGCUGUUCGCCAUUUAAAGUGGUACGCGAGCUGGGUUUAGAACGUCGUGAGACAGUUCGGUCCCUAUCUGCCGUGGGCGCUGGAGAACUGAGGGGGGCUGCUCCUAGUACGAGAGGACCGGAGUGGACGCAUCACUGGUGUUCGGGUUGUCAUGCCAAUGGCACUGCCCGGUAGCUAAAUGCGGAAGAGAUAAGUGCUGAAAGCAUCUAAGCACGAAACUUGCCCCGAGAUGAGUUCUCCCUGACUCCUUGAGAGUCCUGAAGGAACGUUGAAGACGACGACGUUGAUAGGCCGGGUGUGUAAGCGCAGCGAUGCGUUGAGCUAACCGGUACUAAUGAACCGUGAGGCUUAACCUUACAACGCCGAAGGUGUUU